rnacentral:lncRNA from 1 species
GUUAAGGCUAGAAGGCAUACAGCAAAAACUACUGGGCAUGCGCACAUCAAUAUAGUGUAUUUUUUCUCACACUGUUCAACAAUAAUUACUAUUUUUGCAUUAUUGUAAGGGGUAGGUGUAGACGUUAAUAAAACACAAUCUAAUAGGUAGAAAAUUUCAAUUUAUUGUUAGCUUCCGGUUCGCAACCCACCAUAAAAUCAAAAGAAGAAGAAGAAGUAUGGGAUUACUCAGUGCACCUGUGGAAACAGACAAUAUUUGAUCAGGAAUCCUUCAGUCAUGAAGACACAUGCUCUUACUUUUGGUCGUUCCCAGGAAAUCCCUGACUUCAUUUCAGCUGCAUUUCUUUCCAGACCAUCGACUGACUUCACCUCACUGCCAGCACAAUGUCGUCACUCAGCAGCGUGCUUUAGUCAUCAGAUGGACCAACGUGAGCUGCGGCCUGCAGACUAAACACAGACCGUCAAAGUUCAACAGCAGCAUGGCCUUACGAAGCCUGAUAAUGUCAAGCCUGUUAUUACCAGAAGACUCCAGAUGGAAGACAUCGAGAAGAAGCAGUCAUCACUUUCCCUAAGUUUUAGGGGUUUCCAAAUCAGGGGCUCCUUCACAGUGACUUUCUCGAAGACUGAAUCCAGGGAGUAUUUUGUAAAUCAAAACAAGUAGCGUAAUUCAAUAUCCAUAAGGAG